GGUAUGGUAUGGAUAUGGGUCUGCAUGUCAGGUAAUGGCACUGGGGAGAUGGCUGUCAUUACAUCUUCAAUAAAUGCACAUUUCGGACACUUCUCUAAUUCCAUCAAUUGAAAAAAUGUUUGGGAAUGACAAAAUCAUUUUUAAGAUGAUUAAUGCACCUUGCCAUGGAACAAAAACUGUAAAAACGUACUUGAAGAAAGACACAUAAGGUCAAUGUCAUGGCCUGCAAAUAGUCAGGAUCUCAAACCAAUUGAAAAUCUGCGGUGGAAAUUGAAGAAAAUGUUCCAUGACAAGACUCCAACCUGCACAGCUGAUCUGACAACAGCAAUCAGAGAAUCAGUUGGAGCAAAAUUGAUGAAGAGUGCUGUUAAGACAAUGCCUCAGACUACAAGCUGUUAUAAAAGCCGAAGGUGGUGCCAGAAAGUAAUAAUGCAACUGAUUGAACAUCCUCCAAGACUGGUGAUUCCAUCAUUUUCCAGGGAUGGUUGUUGUCUCUGCAGGAUUCCAAAUGAAAGAAACGAGGAGCCGUAGACUGACCGUGUCCAGGUGGAUCUUCAGGUUUUCCAGGCGGGAAAACGCUUUGGUGCAUCCCUCGAACUGACGAGAGGCAUCACAUGUCAUUUUGGAGCUUUAAAGUUUUCCCACUGCUGUUGCAAGUACACCAAACACACCAUAAAAAGCCUCUUGCAGCCAAACCAGGGGUGUCAAACGUACGGCCCGUGGGCCGGAACAGCCUCGCGAACGGGUUUUAUCCAGCCCGCGGGAUGAGUUUGGU